AGUGGCGGACGGGUGAGUAACGCUUGAGAAUCUACCUUCAGGACGGGGACAACAGCUGGAAACGGCUGCUAAUACCCGAUAUGCCGAAAGGUGAAAAGUUUUUUCGCCUGGAGAGGAGCUCGCGUCCGAUUAGCUAGUUGGUGAGGUAAAAGCUUACCAAGGCGACGAUCGGUAGCUGGUCUGAGAGGAUGAGCAGCCACACUGGAACUGAGACACGGUCCAGACUCCUACGGGAGGCAGCAGUGGGGAAUUUUCCGCAAUGGGCGAAAGCCUGACGGAGCAACGCCGCGUGGGGGAAGAAGGUUUUUGGAUUGUAAACCCCUUUUCUCAAGGAAGAACAAAAUGACGGUACUUGAGGAAUCAGCCUCGGCUAACUCCGUGCCAGCAGCCGCGGUAAUACGGAGGAGGCAAGCGUUAUCCGGAAUUAUUGGGCGUAAAGCGUUCGUAGGCGGCUGUUCAAGUCUGCUGUCAAAGACCGAGGCUCAACCUCGGGUAGGCAGUGGAAACUGGAUAGCUAGAGGUCGGUAGGGGCAGAGGGAAUUCCCAGUGUAGCGGUGAAAUGCGUAGAUAUUGGGAAGAACACCGGUGGCGAAAGCGCUCUGCUGGGCCGAACCUGACGCUGAGGGACGAAAGCUAGGGGAGCGAAUGGGAUUAAAUACCCC
rnacentral:rRNA from 1 species